UACGUAGGGCGCAAGCGUGUCCGGAAUUAUUGGGCGUAAAGAGCUCGUAGGUGGUUUUGUUACGUCUGCUGUGAAAACCUAGGGCUUAACCCUGGGCCUGCAGUGGGUACGGGCAGACUAGAGGUAGGUAGGGGAGAAUGGAAUUCCCGGUGUAGCGGUGAAAUGCGCAGAUAUCGGGAGGAACAACCGGUGGCGAAGGCGGUUCUGCUGGGCCGUAACUGACGCUGAGGAGCGAA
rnacentral:rRNA from 1 species